AGCUAAUAGGCUCGUUUAAUUUUUUUUGUUAAUAAGAUUAAACUUAAGAAAACAGAGCUUACAAAUUUAAAAAAUGUGAUUUAUAUUUUUAACCGGUUUUUAGUAUUUACUCAUAAAGUUUAGUAAAAAAAAAUUGAAAAAAUCCUGUUGAUUGGUUACAGUUUUGGAGCUACGUUGGUUUACAACUUGUUUCUUGAAAUCGCAUCUUCAAAAUGAUUGUGUCAGUGAUUUUUAUUUUAUUCAACCUGAACUUUUUAUUUUUGUCUUCGACAAAUGCAGCACUUUCUGCACCCAAAGAUCCUAAAGUCCGAAGCCCUAUUCAAGUCCGAAACCGAAGCCCUAUUCAAUCUGAACUGUUUGGUGGCUCCAGAGUACGAAAAUUUUUUGUUAACUGCGAGGAAAUGUGUUAUCGCGAUUGGGAAGAACGAGACAAGGUAGCCGACCUAAUGAAUUUGAACGACUGGCGGUGUUCAAAGAUCAAACUAUGGGGAAUUAGAUGUUACUGCGUAGGCCGUCAAAACUGUAGUUGUGGUGAAAACUGCUAUAUUGAAGAUUGGGAGAGACGUGAUAAUGAAGCAAAGGCAGCCGGAGUAUACGACACGCAACGUUGCUCGUUCAACGUAAAUGAUGGUGAUAGAUGCUAUUGUUGGGGUAAACGCUGUUUAUAAUUAACAAGUGUAUGAGGGGCUUCUAGCAUUAUUGUCUUUAUACUCAAUAAACUAGUAUGAAACAUUUGUGCAAAUGCAUAGCCGAUCAAUUAAUUGGUCGUAUCUAUCAAUUUGUCCCACUAGUUAUUUUUUAUAUAUAUUUAAUAGAAUAAUUUUUCGAGAUAAAAUUUAAAACA